CACCUCCCAUGUUUAGGUUGCUGUGGGAGAGCUGUUCUGAGCUGUAGUUCUGUACGGGGUCCGUAAUUCGGGUAUAUAAAGACCCCCGUACCGGCCCGCGGCCAGUAAGGAGGCGUCCCGAUAAGCACACAGAGAGCAGAUCAGAGUGAAGAUGCCCGACCCUGAGAGCGCAGGCAGCACCAACGCCCCAGUCCCUGCUGCGUGCCACACAAUCAAGGCAGACCUGGACAAAUGUGUAAAAGAGAAGGGCACUGAAGGCUGCAAGGAUCUGCUGGAAGCCUUCCACAGCUGCAUGAAGAGCACCAGCCAGGCACCCUGAGGGCGGGGGAUGGCGCCGCCCGGCAGGAGACAACCGACCAGCUCUAUGCAGGCAGUCAGUGUGCAGUUAUUGUGUUUUGUGUGUGCUUGGGGGCCUGUCCACAGGAAUGACAUGCCCAGCUAUCAUGGUGGAGGUACAACCUGGACACCCUGGGGGGGGGGUGGUUACGUUCCCCACUGCAUUUCUCAGGAUUAGAGUUCAGCAUCAGCCUGCAUGUGACUGUCUCUGCUGUCCCCCUUCCAGACCCACUGCACUCAGUCUUCCACUAUCCCAGCAUUCCCUUCUCUGUUCCAUGGGACUGAACCAUUUUGAACCGUCAAUGAGGGGGCACAGACAGCGUAUGUUAUCUGUAGAUCACUGGGGUCCAGUUCAGCACAGGGAUCUUUCAUGAGGAUGGUUCACCUGACCAUGGAUAAGUGGAAUAAACCUUAUACCAGA